UUCUGUUCAGAUUGUUAGUACGAGAUACUACUAGUUGAUUGGAGGCAUGGAGAAAUCUGUAUGGUUUUGCUACGACAGUUUCCAUCAUGUCUGCCCAUAGCAUUCUUCUACUCUGUUCAUGUCCUAGAUGUUCCAGCUGCAGUGCGUGAUGGAAUUGAUGAAAGGACACGAAUUUCAGUAUUUUGUUACUUGUCCCGUAGUGUCAGCGUGCAAUAUUGUGUCUUGUGUAUGUGCUUAAUUGGGCUGGGCAAGCAAUUGGGACGACUUACAUUGCUUGUCAAAGCAUGAUUACAUGAUACUCCUACUACCAUUGUAUACGUUUCGAACUGUUGUUCUAGUAUGUCCCAAGCAAGCAACCGAAGCUUGUAAAGGGUCCUGAAGGAAUAAAAUUGGAACUAUGAAUCAUUUUUAUUUGACUUUGUCCAAUGUUUCACGGCAGACAUUCCGGAGGGAGUUCUAUCACGGCAUCGACCAAUUGGAUUGAGAUUCGCAUAUGAAAUUUGGGGGCAGAUUCAGAUAAGUUCUCAUGGAACAUUAUGAGUUCUCAUCACAUGAUAUUUUUUGUGCUGAUACAUUUCCAUUCUGCAAGCAGGAGGCAUAGGGAAAACCCGGAGCAUUAUGAUUUCUUGUGACUUGAUUUUCCCCCCCCCCCCUUUUUUUUGUGCUGAUCCAUUUCCGUUCGCAAACAGAAGGAAUAGGCAAAACCCGGAAGAAGAUAAAACGCAUACCAACUGUGCAAGCUUCAGUAGCUCUGCGUGAUCGAUCAGUCAUCGUCACAUACCGGGCAAAGUAUCUCUUAUCUUCUCCCCUCCGCUUUCCGUCACUUUUCUCUCGUCGCUUCUACUCCGCACUUUUUUUUUGUCCAGGCAAACGCACAACACCGUUAUCGUAACGCAACGAUCCAAACUGUUGCUGUCGUCCGGAUUAGGCUGAAUUCCCAACCAUUGAACGGCUUUCACUGAACGAGCGGCGACGUUUUUCUACAAAGCUUCACCAUCCUUGGCCCUUCAAAUAAAUAAUCAGGCCAAGUGAUCAACUUAUAGGGUCUCGUGUGUUUAUUUCAGCAUCUCGUGAGUUAUUUUUCUUUCUUUAAUGGACCAAUUUUAUAUCGUGGUUUGCCAAAUUGUGAUCUAUGCGUGCCUCUCUCAUGCUGAUGCAGUGAUGCGUCUCGAUUAUACCUUGUCAUGGGCGCUAAAUUUUUUUAAUAUUGCAUUUAUUUUAUUCUUUUUGAAAAAUAAUGCACCGAUUUAAAAAAAUUCAAAAAUAAGCCCGCCUCGGCCACCCUCUAGCCAAUUGGAGGUUGUCGGCUUUGGUGCGGCUGACAGAAGGCAGUCGGCCGGGCCUAGGCCGAUUAGUGGGUCUCGGCAACGUGGGAGCCGACUAUUGGCGAGGCCACUGCCUGUCGGCCUUGGGGAAGCCGAUAGGGCUAUCGGCCUAGGCAUGGCCGAUCAGUGGCCAUGAGCCAGCCCCAGCCCGCCCCUUCCCCCCUCUCCUUGUUCCUCCUUCCUCUUUCUUCCUUCUCCCAUUCUACCUUAUCUCCUUUCUCUCUUUCUUCUCCUUCCUUCUACCCCAUACAAAAAAUCUUCUAUUUCCACGUUUUGAACCGUACUUUUAUUGUGUAAGUAGGAGGGCAUCCAAACUAUCCGUCUCACUCGCGACGGAAUUUUUUAUUUUGAACGUUAGCUAUUUUCCCGACUCCAUUUCCCGCCCAUAUUCCCCCAAUCGGCCACGCCAUUUUGUUCCCUCCUCCGUUGCUGACAAUAUUUCCACGUCUCCAUUCCCGCCAAUUUUUUCACACCACCUUUCCCGCCAAAUUUUGCCCGUUUCUUUUCCCGCCACCUUUUUCGCCAACUUUUUACCCUCUUAUUUCCUGCCAAAUCUUUCCCGCCUCAUUUCCCUCCUCGUUUUCUCGCCAUCUUCCUGGUCAUCUAAGUCUAUAAAAGGAGGCAUUGGACUGCCUUCCUCCAUCAUCCAGCCUCACUUGAGAACAUUAGCACUGCCUUCCUCCAUCAUCCAGUCAAUAUGAGUUUUCCUUGCUCGGAUCAGAGCAUCAGGCCUAAGAAAAUGCAGAGUGCGAGUUUGCCUCGGGAUGUGGAAGCAGUUCGAUGUUGCUGCGGUGAUCUCUGCAAGGUGAAGGAGGUGACGGAUUUUUCAGAUUGGUUGGGCAUGAAGUUUUUCAUGUGCGCCAAUUAUGAAUCUGAUCCGCCCGAAUCUAUUUAUGCGUACCUCAGGCCUCCGGUAUGCUCAAGUUAUCCAGAGUAAAUAUGUUGUUGAUAUUAUUGUUUACUUGAUAUAUAUUUUUUUUUCUACUCUCCUCCUCCUCUCUGCAUGUACUAUCGUUGGAUUGACACGGAAAUGCCGGACUGGGCGGCGGUGACCGAGAUUCGUGAAAGAGGUCGCCGUGCAUGGGCUAGAUUGGACUUGGAAGAGCGCCGCGAGAAGGCUGAAGCAGAGGAGAAAGCAGCGCAGAAGAAAGAGUGGGAAGAGUACUGUGUGGAGCAGAGGGCUUUUAUUGAUGAGAUGAAAGGAAAAACCAAGAAGAGAAACUUCGGUUGGAGGAGGUUGAUGAGAUGAAAGGAAAAACCAAGAAGAGAAACUUCGGUUGGAGGAGGUUUACAGACAGCGGGAACAUGCCCAUGAAGCUGAGAGGGAGAGAAAGAGGGAAAGGGCUCGUGCGGCCAAAGCAGCAGAAGAAGCCGGUGAUGGAAAAGGAAAAUAUCCACGCUGGACUCAGUAGAUUUAUUUUAAUUUCAGCAAGUUGUAUCUUAAUUUCAGCAAGUUGUGUCAGCACAUUGUAUCUUAAUUUCAGCAAGUUGUAUUUUAAUUCNNNNNNNNNNNNNNNNNNNNNNNNNNNNNNNNNNNNNNNNNNNNNNNNNNNNNNNNNNNNNNNNNNNNNNNNNNNNNNNNNNNNNNNNNNNNNNNNNNNNAGGCUUGGGGGGCUGCCAAGGGGGGGGGGGGGGGUGGCUCCCAGGCUUGUGGGCUCCCUGGGCCUCCCCUUCCCUAGCUCAUUCGCCUAUAAAUUCCCUAAAAUCCCAGAAAAAAUCAGGAGAUCCACAAAAAUACUUUUCGGCCGCCGCAAGCUUCUGUCUCCGCAAGAUCCCAUCUGGGGGACGUUCUGGUGCCCUGCCGGAGGGGAGAUUCGGAUACGGAUGGCUUCUUCAUCAACACCAUGACCUCUCCGAUGAUGCGUGAGUAGUUGACCAUAGACCUACAGGUCCAUAGCUAGUAGCUAGAUGACUUCUUCUCUCUCUUGGAUCUUCAAUACAAAGUUCUCCAUGAUCUUCAUGGAGAUCUAUCUGAUGUGAUCUUGUUUUGUGGUGUGUUUGUCGAGAUCCGAUGAAUUGUGGAUUUAUGAUCAGAUUAUCUAUGCAUCUUAUUUGAGUUUCUUCUGAUCUCUUAUAUGCAUGAUUUCAUAUACUUGUAAUUCUCUUCGAGUUGUGGGUUUUGUUUGGCCAACUUGAUCUAUGAAUCUUGCAAUGGGAGAAGUGGUUGGUUUUGGGUUCUUACCGUGCGGUGACAUCACCUAAUGACAGAAGGGGUAGCAAGGCACGCAUCGUGUUGUUGCCAUCAAGGGUAAAAAGAUGGGGUUUUCAUCAUUGGUUUGAGUUUACCCUUCUACAUCAUGUCAUCUUGCUUAAGGCGUUACUCUGUUCGUCAUGAACUCAAUACACUAGAUCCAUGGUGGAUAGCGGUCGAUGUGUGGAGUAAUAGUAGUAGAUGCAGAAAGUAUCAGUCUACUUGUCUCGGAUGUGAUGCCUAUAUGUAUGAUCNNNNNNNNNNNNNNNNNNNNNNNNNNNNNNNNNNNNNNNNNNNNNNNNNNNNNNNNNNNNNNNNNNNNNNNNNNNNNNNNNNNNNNNNNNNNNNNNNNNNGGAUCCAAAUCUGUUGUUUGAAGUUAUUGGACUAAACUAACACAUCUUCAAUACUUUCACGACUUAUGAUGCAUUUUAUUUGAAAUAUGAAAAUUGCUAUGCUAUAAAAAUAGAGAACAUUAUUUCUUUAUUUUUUUUGUCGUGGACCAAAAAUAAAACUGGCAUGUUGUUAAAAUUUACUUUAUUUGGUCCACUAAGCAAAAAAUCAUAGAAAAUAUCAUCCCAUUGAAUGAUAAAACUGCCAUGCAUUAAAAAUAAAAUGGCCAUCCUCUUAAUUUAUUAAAAUGACAUGAUCUUAAUAUAAAACUCCCACCCUCUUACUAAUAAAAUGACAUAUUAUUAAUUAUUAAANNNNNNNNNNNNNNNNNNNNNNNNNNNNNNNNNNNNNNNNNNNNNNNNNNNNNNNNNNNNNNNNNNNNNNNNNNNNNNNNNNNNNNNNNNNNNNNNNNNNNNNNNNNNNNNNNNNNNNNNNNNNNNNNNNNNNNNNNNNNAUAUUAUUAAUUAUUAAAAUUCACGUUGCUAAUAACAAAACUUCCACCCUCUUAUUAUAAAAAUUUCAUGUCAUUAACUAUUAAAAUACCAUGAUCUUAAUGAUAAAACUCUCAUCCUCUUAUUAAUAAAAAUGAGAUAUUAUUAAUUAUUAAAAUUCCAUGCUCAUAAUAAUAAAACUUUAUCCUCUUAUUAAUAAAAAUCUCAUGUCAUUAACUAUUAAAAUACCAUGCUCUUAAUUAAAAUAAUGCCAUGUGCGCAAGUAAAAAUGUCCUAUUUUGGAAGAUAAAAAAGGCAUGGUUGAAAAUAUUAAAAAUAAAUUACCAUGCUAAUAAAAGUGCACAUGGCCAGUUUAGUAUAAAAAACUCUAAGCAACAUAAUUUUUUAUUCUUUCAAAAUAUAAAUUCAGAUUUUUUGUAUUUUUUAAUCAAAAAUGAAAUUAAUUUUUAACCCAAAUACAUAAAUUGGUGUUUGAGCGCAAAUGUUCACAAACCCCGCUUAUACCCAAGUGGUAAGAGUGCAUGACCCUGGUCUCCUCCCGUGCACUUUUUUGUGUAAAAAAUGAUUUAUUCGCUUGAACAACUGGUAUAGCGAAUGACAGAGCAUACCUAACAUCAACCAUUAUAAUUGUGGAAAAGUCAUCAAACACCCAUCGAAAUGCAUGUUCAUGUGAUUUUUUCAUGAAACAUUGAUAACUUUGAUCCAAUUUUGAUUUUUCUUUUCAACUAGUAAAAAUACCCGUGCGUUGCAUCGGGGAAAAAAUUCAUCACACCCGCAAGCAUAGCCUAUUAAACGGGUAAUUAUUUGAUUUAUAACCCACAUCAACUAUUUCCAACUUGAAAGAUUAUGCUUUUGACCAGACCAUAUUUGCAGAAUGGCUAAAAACAUGUUUGCAUUGUCUUUCUAGGGAUUUUUUUUUGCAUUUUUUGGUUUAUAGCUUUGCUAGUUUUAUUCCCACCUUCAUUGUUGCAGGUGCUCUCCACUCAUGAUGAUUAUUUAUUGUCCAUUGUGAAUGCAAAAGCAUAUGUAGUCUGAGAAACAUAAGGACCGGGAACCUAUUGGGUUAACUAUUGUUACCAGCUUCUUUCAAAAAUAAAAAAAACUAUUAUGACCAGCUUAUUAACCAAGAACCGAAAAUAGGAUAGUUAAUCUCCUAAACUUUGGACAUUUUUCUCAUGGAUCUGUAACAAUCUUCUCAAAAUCUAGGACAAUUUUAUCUUAAACCUAAAACUUAUUUUCUUAAACCUAGAACGUUGUCCUACAUAGUAAAAACAUAUCUUAACUUAGUAGAGAAAUGGUCUUCGAAAAUAUCAUAUAUUACCCGGGAUAGUUACCCAACAUGUUCCAUAUACUACCAUGCGGGAGUAUAUAUAUGCUAAUUUAGCAUUUUAAUUAUGUUCAUAUACUAUAUAUAAGAUUUUUCAAAGUGAGUUAUAUGAAAAAAAUUACAAGUUGACCCAUAAUUUUUAUUAUAUUUGUGAAAUACGUAUAUAUUUGUAUUAAAAAAGAGGAUACCAAAAUAUGAUACAUACUACCAAAAAUAUAUUAUAUAUACUACUUAAACAUUAUUAUAUACUACUAGUAAAAGUGCCCAUGCGUUGCAACGGGUGAACAACAAAAACUCAUAAAAAUUAUAAAGUCCAACAUAAAACAAUUAAAGUUCAUCAAAUUGCAUUAAUAUCAUGUAAAUACUACAAUCAAAUCAACAAUUAAGGAGUAACUUGUGCAAGAAAGAGGAACCCGAGGUUUAUAAAAAGAUGAACUUCGCGCACCAUCAUGCUUGAAUGCACACUCGAUCUGGCGCUGCUAGUGGCCACCACUGUGUCUCCUUGUGUCCUCAUGGAAACAUGGGCAGGCGUGGUAAAGGAGCAGAUCGUGAGAUCAAGGAGACCAUGGUGGAGACCAGCCGCUCAAUAAAAAGAACCAUUCAAAAACAUAUAAUAUUGGUUCACAGGAUGCUACAAUUUUUAGAAUGCAGGUCAUCCCGACAUUUUAUUGAUAGAUAAGUCAAACUACUAAUAACAACACUUAGGUGCCCGUGCCCCCGUGAAAUUCAGAUCAUGUGUAGAAGCUAGCACUUUGUAGAAAGGUACAACCUUUGAGGUUCACCCUUAAGUAAAAUUCAGAGCGAUAAUCCUACACCUACGGAUAAUUAACGGAAGGUUACGGACCUCCCUUCUCUUCUAACAAAACCUCCGCGGUGGGCCCGUGCCCCCAAAACUGACCAAUGAAAAAAUGCCUCAUCACCAUGUUAACCUUUCUUCCCCGUAAUACCCUAUAGAUGUAGCAUUGCUCAAUUCAGAGUGUGUAAACAGACCUGGCAAUACAACUCAAUAGCAUCUGUUUUGUAUGGUUCUCAUCCCAUGGCAAAGGUGGAAUGGGAACAUGUUUGUUAGUUAAGUCCAGCAUGAAAGAACAUCAAGUAAAACUUAUAUUGUUCCUUUUUUUUCUGAUGAAAAGUAGCUACUCAUUCCUUUACAUACUAUCAUCCGGGUAGAGCAAAAGAACAGAGCACACCCAGCAAAUCCAGCUCGGCUCCUCCAGUUAGUUCAUGAUAUGCAAUGCACGUAUAACCUUAAACCAAAAUUUUAUUGCUCAUCAAGUUAGGACGGGCAUAUAUUUAAAUGAAUCAACUAAUUCUUCCCUUUAGUCUGACCAUCGCUCACGUAUCGACCAAAAUUUAGAAAAUUCAAUGCAACAUAUAAUUCAUAAUUGAGCAUAUACAUAGCUGGUCUAUUUACAUAUUUUCUGAAAUUAAUAUAUAUAUUUACCAAAAUCUUCUAAAUUAUAGUGCAACGUCGUAUGCAUUUGUUUCUAAUCUAAUGUUGGAAGCAAUCAGUACUCUUGCAUGUCAACCAUCGCUUUGUAGGUCGCUCACCAUCCAUGUCAUUGUCGUUGAUGGCAGCUUGUCCUUCGGCACACCCUACAAACUAUGGAAAUGAUGAAGGCGAUGAGAAGUUUCACGGCACAGAAGCGCAUGUCUACAAUAAGACCUGCAUAACUGCAUAACUUAAAAGCAUGUGGUACUUAUCAAGACUUCAGUAUUUUAAGAGAGAGCAUUAGGAGUACAUAUACUCUAGUUGGUCAAUAUUCUGGUGCAUCUGCUAAAGAAAAAUGAUGAAGCUGUUAGAUAACAUAUAAACCAAGUAAUGGAUUAAUAGUUUUGUAGAGCGGAAAAUAUUUCAAAGUGGAAAAAAAAUUAGGCAAAAUCAUAGCACUAACUAACACUAUGCUUCGUACCCAAGCUACCAUCGAGCACUGAUUACAACCGCCCCUACAUAUUGCAGACUUCACUCAAAAUACACAUUGUGGACUCGCGACCAUCCAAUACUCGUAGUUCUAAACAUACCGUGCAGGACGGAGGGGACUUUGAGCAGGGGAGGAAGACAAUCAAACGAUAUAGCAAAAGAGUUCUAAGUUUACAUCACACAAUGAAUUUUUAAUUUUCAUGAGCCAUGUCAAUUAGACUCUGAUGAAUCAUGGUUACAUGGAUUUCCAUAAUAUUUUCGAAAGUUGCGAUAGCACACAUGAUCUGUUAAGCCCUAAUAGCCCCCAGAAUCAGAGAAGCAAUUUAGUUGCAUUUAAUGUUUCUAUAGAUUCUCCUUACAAACAGUUUUCUUCAUUCUCUACCACUUCGAAGGUAAUUUAGAAUUUUAGUAAUUUCGGAAGAAGCAAGACAACCAGAAUAUGAACUGUAUGGUACAAUAUAGAGAAAACCUGGCGAAUCAAGUUUUAACUCCUUGCUCUCAACUUCAUCUCCUAGCUGACAGUAAUCCAAGGCCUGAAAUGUCGAAUAACAUUUUUCAGAUAAGUUAAGAAGAUCAUAGGGCCUCUAUAUUUGAUAAAUGCACACAACCAUUGUUGUGGAUCAACAUGACAACCUCUGAGAUGAAAAUAAUGAGCCAUAUUUGUGAACAAAGCUGUUAAUUUUGAACCAUCUCUUAAGCUUGCCUGCUUCCUUUUUUACACCCUGAAUUACAUGCGCAAGGUCAAAUCUAGAUUCAUAGGGAAAAAACAAAAAAUGACCCAAGUAGUGAGUUUGAGUUGUAUAGGCAACUGUCUGAAACAUCAAAUUCACUACGCUGGCUGAUACAACCAUAAAGUACAUAACUUGCAUAUACUAAUUUAUUAAGCUCUACAGUGUGGUCACAAAAUUGUUGAAGCAAUCUGUAGACAAAGUUCCUUACCUAUGCAGAAGCAAGUCUGGUCGUGGUGGUGGUCUGACUUGAGGUCAGAGGAGAGGAGACCGGCGCAAAGCUCCCUCGCUUGGUGGUAGUCAUCGUGGAGCACGGCCAGACCAUUACCCUCAUGUGGACGUCCACGAGCACAUCUGACCAUGGAUGAAGGAGGUCGUCGACCCAGAGGAACAGAUCGACAACGGCCUAGCCCCCGCGAGCGAUGGCCUCAAUGGUGACACAUCAGUAGUGCGAGGUAUGGUGGCCACCGAGAUCUCAUCAGGCUCACAGAAGUCGGUCAGGGUCGAGGACGUAUUCGUGGAGCUGCAGGGCGUGGUGUCGUCCGUGACUGAAGGGCAGAAGGAGGCUCACGCAGGCUUGGGAGAGCGUGGGUAGCCCCUGCGCUGGCUUGUGGAUGGGGCCGGCCUGCUGGACGAGCCACGGGUGAGGGAGCCGGCAACGGCCCCUGUAGAACGCCAUGGGCAUGUGCGCACUUGGGGAAGGGGUAGGAACGUCGGCGAGGAAGGUGGUGGCGGCACGCGGCGGCGGGGCGUAGGCCGGUAGCGCGUGGCGGAGGCCGGCAGCACGCUGGAGGUUGGAGAUGCGAUUAGGGUUGGUGGGAGCGUGGGUGUUUUUUUCUCUUCGGUCGCUGUAACUGUUCAGGUUGACUCCAUCAGGACUACGGAUUGAAUAACUAAAAUCUUAGGGGCUUUUUUGCAAAAACGGCGACGGGUUUUCUGACAGAAGCAAUAGCCUCUUUAUUAUUAGGUAAAGAUAUACUACGCAUACAUAUUCUCCGAUUUAAUAGAUACUACAUACAACAUAUAAAACCUAAGUAUAUAUAUAUAUAUAGGGGCGGCUGUGUGAUGAAAAAUCCAAUCUAAUGAAAAGAACCGGUGCAUUGCAAUUGGGCAAACAUCUCACUUUCUCCUAAUUAUUCACAGUAGAGGUUGAUGCUGCCCGGGGUUCCGAAUUAAGCCAUCUUAUGUUCCUCGUUAUAGAUGUAUACAAACGAUGGAUAUGUUCAGGUGUUGUAAGAAUUGUUUGAGUCAUCUAAUUUUCAAAUUACAACAUUAUGUUCCUCCAACUCACCUAAUCAUAGUUUAUACAGAGAUAACUCCAAGCCUUAUAGGAAAAUUAAUAAAUUUGCAAAUUAGAAAGCAAAGCUUAUACCUUGAGGAUUCGAGGUGAUGGAGGCUUGAGUGUAGUCUACUGCUGGACUGAAGGCCGCCGAGCUCGGGUGCGGACCGGCCAGAUUGUAUGAGCUGGAUUGCCGGAUGCGGAGCAUGGUGGCCAGCAAGGGGAUGGGGGCAUCAAGCAAGGCUGACCUUGACCGUCGUCGUCCUACUACGGUACUGUCGAAGGAAGGGCGCCACCGUGUCAGCCUGUGCGUGUCGGUCGUUGACCAGGGAAGGGAGUCCAACAGAGGUAGCCGCCCUGCUUCCUCAAUGAUCGAGAGAUGGUGGAGGCAGUGGGUGGAGGGUAGGGGAUUUGCGCCAUACAACCAUUCGACGAGCCUUGCUCUUCCCCUCUUUCCAUCUGACGUCUGCCUCCCUGGAUCUUUCCGCUCCAGAGCAGGAGAUCUGCGCCCCGUGUCGAGAUCCAGCACCGACGAAGAAUCGACAAUCAGUGCGCCUCCCUCUUCCUUUCUCCUUCCGUCCCAUGCUCUCUCUCAACUUACUCUUUGCUUUCUCACGAAGCAAGCUCGCCACCGCCGGCCGUCCCCUCCCCCCCCCCNNNNNNNNNNNNNNNNNNNNNNNNNNNNNNNNNNNNNNNNNNNNNNNNNNNNNNNNNNNNNNNNNNNNNNNNNNCCCCCCCGCCCCCCCCCCCGCCCCCAGCUGACAUAAGAAGACGCUGACCACGGGGAGGAGUGAUUUUGUAAGAACGAAACGUUUUCCAACUAAACAAUGGACUACGGUUUGAUUAUCAUAAAAUAGAGGGAUUUUAUUGUAUAAAGGACCGCGACGGGUUCUGAAUAGAAGCAAUAGCCGCUUUAGUUUAUGUAAAAAUAAAGAUUUACUCUACCUGUAGCAGGAUCCAUGCCGCCAGGUAAGCGGUGGAAAGCGCGCUCACCCGGGUCGACCCUGUGGCGAACGUUCGUCAGAUAUCAUUUCUGUAUUUUAUUUCCAAACAACCACUAAACAUCUAGCAAGAAGCAACGUCCUCCGAAUAAGGGUAAGCAAACGUCAGCGUCAAGAAAGGCAGCUUCUUUUUUCCCAGAGAGCCAAAGGCAACUUGACAACUACUACUAAUACUCGAGAAACAUGCCCGUUCAUUUUAUAUGGGACGAUAAGUACAACGCAACGAACCCAGGGUAUGCACGCCGUGCGUCACUAUCGUGCUCACGCCGGCUAACUAUUUUUCCCUGGCAAGGUGCCGCCAAAGUGGCAGGCCCAGCUUGAUUGCGUCUUUUGUCCGGUCGUGCCGACGCCGUCUUCUCUGAAGGGGACGGCCGUCGCUCGUCUACGCUUGUUAGUUGCUACAGGGGAUGAUGUAACAAAUGUACAUGCAAAAAUGAUGCAAGAGUCGAGCCAGUGCCCAGCGUUUCAGAAAAAAAUAAUAAUAGUCGUAUGCCACACCUACAUAGCAAGUGGAAUGCAGGCGCUCUUCUUGAACGGACGGCGAUCAACGCUACUACGUUUUGAUAGGAAGAUGCGACUAACAGAGGAGUGGGUGUGAAACGUGGGCAAGAAACGGCUGUCUGGGUCUAAUUCAGCAUGGAAAAAUGUGAGCCGCACACGUGGAGCGAAAGACAAAACAGACAACGGAGUGUAAUUCGUCUUUGCCACAUUCUCUUUCAAGGCGUAAGAUAUUUUUGUUCCUAUUUAUACUCUGUUUUGCCAUUGAAAGCCAUGAGAUAUUUUCCGUAGCCGUGGAAUUUUGAAUGGACCAUCAAACGGCAAGACUCGCCGAGCAGAAUGACAAUUACAUAAAAAUAUAAGAAAUUUUAAAAAUCCAAGAACGCAAAAGUUUUAGAAUACAUUCAUCGGAUUUUUAUAGUGCGGACAUGGAGUUGAAAUUUAAAUACCAAAUCUUUAUAUUAGCUUGCACAAGUGUUCUUGUAUGAUUGGGUUUGUCGAUAAGCUCAAAAGAGUUGUAGUUACACGACAAUGCUGGCCAAAUUUCAUUUUUCUUAAAAAAAACAAGAUCUAUUAUAAAAGUCAGAAAUAUAAAACACCUCAAGCAUAAUACAAAUUACUUCGAAGUCUCUAGACCAACUAACGACAACUACCGUCGCCGCAACGAGCCGUCGACGUGACGCUGUCGUCACUCCCUAUCAAAGACGACGUGACCUUGUCGAGGCAAGCAGUAAAGUCUUCAUGUACGUGUCCCUAAAGACCAGUGUCUGUAAGGUGCAGACGUCGUUUUUGAACCUUUGAAUAGAUUGAAGCAUCUGACACAAAAUCUCAUCGAUGUGCACGCACAAAAAGAAUCCCUAACCUCUCUUUUUUAAAAAAAAAGAGAAUCCUUAACCUUGCCACCCCUAAAAGACGACAUAAAUCUACAUAUCUUUGUUGACUAUGUUCAGAUAGAUUAUCUUAAGAAGGAUCAGAUCCGUGAAGAGAAACUCAAAGGGAAAGUGGCGUGACUCUUUUACCUCUUUACACAUAAUGGCCGUCUAACGCUAGUUUCCUCAUGUUUGUCGUUGUCUUCUUUCCCGUCGUCGGUUGUCGUGACUCUUUUAGCCACCAAGUUUAUCAUGCCCAUGUCCAUAUUGAUUGGAACGACCUUUUAAUUUUUUUAUGUCAACCUUAAUAUUUGUUAUUGUAUCUACUGAUAUUGUACUUUCUUGUGUCGUCAGUUCUUCCUCGAUUAUGCUGCCUUUGCGUCCUCAGCGACAGACAAAAAAUAGUCCAAACAUCCUAGGGCAACCGAAUUGCAAAAUGGUUGAGCUACUAUUUGACAAACGCGGCAAAAGGUGGCACUAGUGUGUGUAUACUCAUAGAAAUACACGCGUUGGUGAUGAUCUGCUCACAGUCAAAGAUUAGAUCUUUGUUGUCAAGAAAUUAAUUGUCACAGUUAUGAUAUAGCAGGUAGAUGUAUCAAGAUCUUCUGAUUAUUUGAUUUGAUUGAUGUAUGUUUUGAGAUAUUGUUUUUUCUUGCACAAUGUUUAACUUUCUUGUGCAAUAGAAAAAACACAUUUAUAGCAAUGUAUGAUAUAUAAAUUGAUGCUCCCACUGUUCACUACUAUAAACAAAAUACCAACUGAAAAUGGGUGAACAAACAGAUUAAAACGUAUUUACAAAAAAUAGGACAUUUUAUGAACAAUCAAUCAAGGAAGAACUCCCUCCAUCCGGAAAUAUUUGUGAUAGGAAUGAACGUAUCUAGAUGUAUUUUAAUUAUAGAUAUAUCCAUUUUAUCCAUUUUGCAACAAGUAAUUCUGGACGAAGGGAUUAUGUAACAACUUAUGAAUAUUUGACGGUUGGCAUAUAAAGAAUGGGAUCCCCAUAAAAAUCCAGAAAAGAACUUGGGUCGUGGAACCAAACCAUCUCUUUUUUUGGGUGUGGACAAAAACAUAAGAACAAUGUGAAACUACCGUAAUCAUGGGAGAACACAACUUAGUGAGAAUUAUAUUAGUACUCCCUCUCUCUUGAAUUAUAAGAUGUUUUAAAUAUUUCAAUACGGAUUAGAUAGAAAUAAAAGAGAGUGUAUAAACACAGUAAAACAAAUCUAAUUACAUUUGACUCAGAUUAAAGGUAAAAAUUAAAGAUAAAACAUCUUAUAAUACUAGUGAAAUGAGAGGGUAUUAAAGAGCACAGACUUGAAUAGCUAUCGAAUUCUGGAAAUAUAGGGAAAUUUUUGAAAAGUUAAAAAUCCUGACGGCUCGAGUGUGGUCCGGCGCAUGGUGGAAGGGGUCCACAUAUGCGCGCCCCUGCGCUGUCGCCGCCGCUGUGUCGGUCCGUGCCCCAUCGGUCCGCCCGGAUCGCCAGUUUCCGCCACCGUCGAUCGUCCGCAUUGCCGGAUCCAGCCUUCGUCCAUCGUCCUCAUCGCAUGCCGCCAUGACCGGGCGCGCGUAUACAAGUGUUACAAACGUCACCCAGAAUUGCUGCAAUGGCUAUUUAAAAAAGCUUCAAAACCCAUAAUGAAAAAGCUUUAAUCAGGCAUAUGUUAAGUUGCAAGCGGUCAUUUGCCAUGACGGAAUGUUGCAACCGUUGACAUAAAAUGCUACAAACUUUGAUUAAAAAAGCUGCAAUUAUACAUAUAAAAAGCUACAACCGUUGAUGAAAAAAGCUGCAACCAGACAUAUAAAAGCUGCAAGCGGUCAUUGCUAUGGUGAAAUGCUACAACCGCUGACAUAAAAUAUUACAACCGUUGAUGCAAAAAAGCUUCAACGAAGGACUGACAAGGCGCUCGCGUUUGUUGGCUCUGCAAGGACGACGACCGGCGACGAGGACGUCCGACGAGAGGGGGCGAUGGGAGAAGGACCCCUCGAUUGCGAGGGGACGGGGAGGAAAGGGAGGGGCUGGGGGAGCGCCGCUGCACGCUGAACGAGGAUGGCUGACGAGAUGCUCACGUUCGUGGUUCGAGGUUAAGACGAGAUCUGACGUUUAAGGGCGCCCGAUCCGACGACUGCUCUGUGACCGGCGUGAGCUCUCGCGUCGGCGCGCGAGCGUCGAGUACUGCCCAUCUGUGUAGGUACCACUCAUACACCGCCACGCGCUUCUUGUGGUCCCGGGGGACGUAGAAAACCGAAACAUGCUCAUGGACCACGUCCAUGAUAUUUUCCCACGAUUUUUUUGGCAAAAUAUAUUUUCCCACGAUGGCAUGCCAUCUUCUCUACAAAAGCACCGGCAAUCCCUCCGAAAGGGAGACCACAGCCGCUCCUUUCUCAUCGGUUUCCCCCGUCGCGAGAUCGCCCGUUUUCUCUCAACGCUUCCGACCGGAGAGGAAGAGGAAUACAAAUCCCAUCGAAUUCGCCUGGUCGCGGUUUCAUCAUCUUCUGUCCCUGUGUGUGUGUGUGUGUGCUGGUGGUGGUGGUCUUGAUCCGUUGUUAAUUUCGAUUCAAUCGCCCGGACGCCAUGGGAUUGGGGAGCGACGCGAGCUCGUCGUCGUCGCGGCUGGACUCGGCGCCGCUGCUGCCGCACCACAGCGCCGAAGGGGGCCACCUGUCGUCGCAGCCCAAGACGUUCGCGAACGUCUUCAUCGCGGUGGUCGGCGCCGGCGUGCUCGGCCUGCCCUACACGUUCUCGCGCACCGGCUGGGCGGCGGGCUCCAUCCUGCUCCUCUCCGUCGCGCUGCUCACCUUCUACUGCAUGAUGCUGCUCGUCGCCUGCCGCCGCCGCCUCGCCGACGAGCACCCCAAGAAGCUGUCCUCGUUCGGGGAUCUGGGGGACGCCGUCUUCGGCGCGCCCGGCCGCCUCGCCGUGGACACCAUGCUUGUGCUCAGCCAGGCCAGCUUCUGCGUCGGAUACCUGAUCUUUAUCUCCAACACCAUGGCGCACCUCUACCCCAUCUUCGCCCCCUCCUCCAACGUCUUCCUCUCCCCUAAGGCGCUCUUCAUCUACGCCAUGCUGCCGUUCCAGCUCGGGCUCAACUCCAUCAAGACGCUCACGCUCCUCGCGCCGCUCAGCAUCUUCGCCGACGUCGUCGACCUCGGCGCCAUGGGGGUCGUUGUUGGACAGGACGUGUCGACCUGGCUCGCCGCACAUCCACCCGUCGUCGCGUUCGGCGCCCCCGCCGCGCUCCUCUACGGCGUGGGCGUGUCCGUGUACGCCUUCGAGGGCGUCUGUAUGGUCCUGCCGCUGGAGGCGGAGGCCGCGGACAAGAAGAAGUUCGGCGCCACGCUCGGGCUGUCCAUGGCGUUCAUCGCCGCCAUGUACGGGCUGUUCGGUGUCAUGGGGUACGUCGCGUUCGGCGACGCCACGCGCGACAUCAUCACCACCAACCUCGGCAGCGGGUGGCUGUCGGCCGCCGUGCAGCUGGGGCUGUGCAUCAACCUCUUCUUCACCAUGCCGGUGAUGAUGAACCCAGUGUACGAGGUCGCCGAGCGCCUGUUUCACGGCAAGCGCUACUGUUGGUGGCUGCGGUGUGUGCUCGUGGUCACCGUGGGGCUCGCGGCCAUGCUCGUGCCCAAUUUCACCGACUUCCUCGCCCUCGUGGGGAGCAGCGUCUGCGUGCUGCUCGGGUUCGUGCUGCCGGCCACCUUCCACAUGAAGGUGUUCGGAGCCGAGAUGGGCUGGGCCGGGGUUCUCAGCGACGUCCUCCUGGUCGUGCUCGGCCUCGUGCUCUCCGUCUUCGGCACCUACUCGUCGCUGGUGCAAAUCUUCCACUCUUCCAGCGCUUAAUUUCCGGUAUUCGCCGAGGGUUAAAUUGCUGGGUGCAUUGGCUCUCUCAUCCACGCCGGUUAAGCUCCCGCGUAGUAGUUUUCCACACUACGAGAAGGGGAUCAGCGGAUCAGAGAGGAAUUGCUUGGCUCAGCUAUUUGUUGAUCUGGGAAAUGGAUUGUUGGGAAUUCUGUUCAGAUUGUUAGUACGAGAUACUACUAGUUGAUUGGAGGCAUGGAGAAAUCUGUAUGGUUUUGCUACGACAGUUUCCAUCAUGUCUGCCCAUAGCAUUCUUCUACUCUGUUCAUGUCCUAGAUGUUCCAGCUGCAGUGCGUGAUGGAAUUGAUGAAAGGACACGAAUUUCAGUAUUUUGUUACUUGUCCCGUAGUGUCAGCGUGCAAUAUUGUGUCUUGUGUAUGUGCUUAAUUGGGCUGGGCAAGCAAUUGGGACGACUUACAUUGCUUGUCAAAGCAUGAUUACAUGAUACUCCUACUACCAUUGUAUACGUUUCGAACUGUUGUUCUAGUAUGUCCCAAGCAAGCAACCGAAGCUUGUAAAGGGUCCUGAAGGAAUAAAAUUGGAACUAUGAAUCAUUUUUAUUUGACUUUGUCCAAUGUUUCACGGCAGACAUUCCGGAGGGAGUUCUAUCACGGCAUCGACCAAUUGGAUUGAGAUUCGCAUAUGAAAUUUGGGGGCAGAUUCAGAUAAGUUCUCAUGGAACAUUAUGAGUUCUCAUCACAUGAUAUUUUUUGUGCUGAUACAUUUCCAUUCUGCAAGCAGGAGGCAUAGGGAAAACCCGGAGCAUUAUGAUUUCUUGUGACUUGAUUUUUUUUUGUGCUGAUCCAUUUCCGUUCGCAAACAGAAGGAAUAGGCAAAACCCGGAAGAAGAUAAAACGCAUACCAACUGUGCAAGCUUCAGUAGCUCUGCGUGAUCGAUCAGUCAUCGUCACAU
rnacentral:lncRNA from 1 species